AUUGAGAGGAAAAAGUGAUUGUCAAAAAAAACAUAAAAUUGAUCUCGGAAACAUAAGAAGAAGAAGAAGAAGAAGAAGAAGAAUAAAAGCGAAAACACCCAAAUUUAAAAAGUUAAAAUCCGCGAAAUCCAUUAAACCUUGUUAGAUGAGGGUGUUGAGUUUCUAGUGGAUUUUGGCAAAUAUCUCUCGGAACAAUUGACACGUUUUCACAAAAACCGAAGCGACGAAGAAACUUGAGAAACGAGGCACAAACGGACACUCAAAUUCUACGGUCACAAACUCUGCCUCGUUGAACAAGAGCUGCGCUACAGCUAGAAGACGUGUUUGACCAUCCGUGUACUGUCUGCUUGGAAAAAGUGAAAAAAGUGACGUGUUGAAACGACACAUGAAAACCCAAACUGGAUUCGCUUGUCGCCUCGACUCUUACAUAUAGGAAAAAGAGGAAUUAGAUUUAGAAAGAAAAUUUUUUGAGG